UUGGAGGGACGGAGAAGGCUAGGCCAGCUUGGCGUUGGUUGUCCAAGUUUAAGGUGGUAGGCUGAAAUCUUAGGUAAAUCCGGGGUUUCAAGGCCGAGAGCUGAUGACGAGUCGUCUUUUAGAUGACGAAGUGGUUGAUGCCAUGCUUCCAAGAAAAGCUUCUAAGCUUCAGGUAACCAGGAACCGUACCCCAAACCGACACAGGUGGUCGGGUAGAGAAUACCAAGGCGCUUGAGAGAACUCGGGUGAAGGAACUAGGCAAAAUGGCACCGUAACUCCGGGAGAAGGUGCGCCGGCUAGGGUGAAGGAUUUACUCCGUAAGCUCUGGCUGGUCGAAGAUACCAGGCCGCUGCGACUGUUUAUUAAAAACACAGCACUCUGCAAACACGAAAGUGGACGUAUAGGGUGUGACGCCUGCCCAGUGCCGGAAGGUUAAUUGAUGGGGUUAGCGCAAGCGAAGCUCUUGAUCGAAGCCCCGGUAAACGGCGGCCGUAACAAUAACGGUCCUAAGGUAGCGAAAUUCCUUGUCGGGUAAGUUCCGACCUGCACGAAUGGCGUAACGAUGGCGGCGCUGUCUCCACCCGAGACUCAGUGAAAUUGAAAUCGCUGUGAAGAUGCAGUGUAUCCGCGGCUAGACGGAAAGACCCCGUGAACCUUUACUGUAGCUUUGCACUGGACUUUGAGCCUGCUUGUGUAGGAUAGGUGGGAGGCUUUGAAGCGUGGACGCCAGUUCGCGUGGAGCCAUCCUUGAAAUACCACCCUGGCAUGCUUGAGGUUCUAACUCUGGUCCGUAAUCCGGAUCGAGGACAGUGUAUGGUGGGCAGUUUGACUGGGGCGGUCUCCUCCUAAAGAGUAACGGAGGAGUACGAAGGUGCGCUCAGACCGGUCGGAAAUCGGUCGCAGAGUAUAAAGGCAAAAGCGCGCUUGACUGCGAGACAGACACGUCGAGCAGGUACGAAAGUAGGUCUUAGUGAUCCGGUGGUUCUGUAUGGAAGGGCCAUCGCUCAACGGAUAAAAGGUACUCCGGGGAUAACAGGCUGAUACCGCCCAAGAGUUCAUAUCGACGGCGGUGUUUGGCACCUCGAUGUCGGCUCAUCACAUCCUGGGGCUGAAGCCGGUCCCAAGGGUAUGGCUGUUCGCCAUUUAAAGUGGUACGCGAGCUGGGUUUAGAACGUCGUGAGACAGUUCGGUCCCUAUCUGCCGUGGACGUUUGAGGUUUGAGAGGGGCUGCUCCUAGUACGAGAGGACCGGAGUGGACGAACCUCUGGUGUUCCGGUUGUCACGCCAGUGGCAUUGCCGGGUAGCUAUGUUCGGAAAAGAUAACCGCUGAAAGCAUCUAAGCGGGAAACUUGCCUCAAGAUGAGAUCUCACUGGGAACUUGAUUCCCCUGAAGGGCCGUCGAAGACUACGACGUUGAUAGGCUGGGUGUGUAAGCGUUGUGAGGCGUUGAGCUAACCAGUACUAAUUGCCCGUGAGGCUUGACC
rnacentral:rRNA from 1 species